UACGGAGGGGGCUAGCGUUGUUCGGAAUCAUUGGGCGUAAAGGGCGCGUAGGCGGCCGAUCAAGUCGGAGGUGAAAUCCCUCGGCUCAACUGAGGAACUGCCUUCGAUACUGUUCGGCUUGAGUCCUGGAGAGGGUAGCGGAAUUCCCGGUGUGAGCGGUGAAAUGCGUAGAGACCGGGAAGAACACCAGUGGCGAAGGCGGCUACCUGGACAGGUACUGACGCGAAGCGCGAAGCUAGGG
rnacentral:rRNA from 1 species